UCCCAUUGCUCAGAUACUGCUCACCAUCAAUCAUUUCAGUCAUUACUCCACUCUCACUUAAAUCAUAACAAUUUCAAUUUUUUUUUUCCAAGUAAAAAACUUACAUGGCCAUGGUCUCCAAGGUUGACCACAAAGGCUCCUUCCACAGGUUGGACAGUGAUCCAAGUCUUGCCAUUGUCCCGGGUGGCCUGAAGCCCACCAACUUGGUCUUGAAGCAAGAGUGUGAUGGUGCCUGGGUCAGUGUGGCGCUUGAGUCCUAAAGUGAGGUCAGGUUGAGGGCAUUUAGGAUAGAAGUUAACCACCACUUUCUGAUCCAUGUCCACACAUGCCUUUGUCAAGGCCUCCUUCUCUAAACCCAUGGCCUCUGACAACACCUCAAGAAGCUUGCAAGCUAGGCCCAUCAACUUCUCGCUGUACUCCUUUGUAACUUCAACCCAACCCUCUGGCUUAUCAG
rnacentral:lncRNA from 1 species